AUAUUUCGGAACUGAGUCUAGUUCCUUCGAUAUCAGUGUAAUCUAAUAAUCAUGAUGUUUGCCGUAUUGGUGUAAUGUACAUUACACAGCAAAUAUCAUGAUUAUUAGAUUACACUGAUAUCGAAGGAACUAGACUCAGUUCCGAAAUAU